GAUGAAGAACGUAUCGAAAUGCGAUACUUGGUGUGAAUUGCAGAAUCCCGUGAACCAUCGAGUCUUUGAACGCAAGUUGCGCCCGAAGCCAUUAGGCCGAGGGCACGCCUGCCUGGGUGUCACACACCGUUACCCUCGCGCCAACGUCCAUCGUUGGCCGCGGCGCGGGGCGUGCGCUGACCUCCCGCGAGCGGGGUCUCGUGGUUGGUUGAAAAUCGAGUUCGCGGUCGAGGGUGCCGUGAUGAAAUGGUGGAUGGGCGACGCCCGAGGCCAAUCACGCGCGACUCUGUCCGGCUCGGACUCCUGGACCCCUUCGGCGUCUCCGGACGCUCUUUGGCGAGCCCUCAGGUCAGGCGGGGCUACCCGCUGAGUUUAAGCAUAUCACUACGCGGAGGA
rnacentral:misc_RNA from 1 species